GACGAACGCUGGCGGCGUGCUUAACACAUGCAAGUCGAACGGAGAGGCCCUGCUUUUGUGGGGUGCUCGAGUGGCGAACGGGUGAGUAACACGUGAGUAACCUGCCCUUGACUUUGGGAUAACUUCAGGAAACUGGGGCUAAUACCGGAUAGGAGCUCCUGCUGCAUGGUGGGGGUUGGAAAGUUUCGGCGGUUGGGGAUGGACUCGCGGCUUAUCAGCUUGUUGGUGGGGUAGUGGCUUACCAAGGCUUUGACGGGUAGCCGGCCUGAGAGGGUGACCGGCCACAUUGGGACUGAGAUACGGCCCAGACUCCUACGGUAGGCAGCAGUGGGGAAUAUUGCACAAUGGGCGGAAGCCUGAUGCAGCAACGCCGCGUGCGGGAUGACGGCCUUCGGGUUGUAAACCGCUUUCGCCUGUGACGAAGCGUGAGUGACGGUAAUGGGUAAAGAAGCACCGGCUAACUACGUG
rnacentral:rRNA from 1 species